ensembl:lncRNA
CAGGAAUUUCGCCGCACGCGGAGGAGAGAGAGGACACGCCGCAGACUGUCGACAACCAGGCUGUUAGGACGCCUGAUAAAGCCCUGGAGUGUUAAAUUCGCAACCAGGCCGGUGACAUAGCGUCUGAACUCCCCUCGUGGACGGCGACUGACGGGAUUCUGGGACUCUCCUGUGAACGAAACGCAACACAACGGUAGGCAAACCGAGAGCGUCUCUAUAACCGUGUGAAUGAGUGUGGGAUCCUAGAUAGAAACGCGUCACCGAGACUCUGCGUUAAACGUGAGUUCGGGGGAGCGCUGGUCACGAGAGCGCACGUGGACCCAAAACAAUAGAGAGCGGCUACGGGCUGUGCGUUAAACGUGAGUCCGGGAGCGCGCUAGCCGCGUGAGAGAGACGCAGGCUUCUCCGCCGUGUGGGGCGUGGAGAUAACCUAGGUUCGGUAGCUCCGCCGUGAGGAGUGUUCGGAAUCUCCGCCAUUUGGGGCGUUUGGAGACUUUCAACAGAAGUUAGAGGCCUAUAAAGAGUGUGAAUGAGCGUAUGUGUGUGUGAGUGCCAGUAAAGUGAACGCAGCAACACAGAAGGAAACCUAAAGCGGUGUUAACGGAAUUCUGUGACCUGUUGUGUACACGUAGCCUGGGUUUUUGGGGUAAGGCGUUGCCUGCCGCAAACUUGAAAGAAUUGUCAUAAUGGGGAAUAAAAUGUGUAAGUCUGCCUUAGAAGGGGAUGUAAAAUUUAUGGAGAAAUUUUCACCGGGCAGCACGCAGUAUGUAGAUUGUUGGCGUAAGAAAUAUGGAUUUGAAGGGACAUUAGUGGAAGUUCAGUGUAAAAUGCUUGUAGAAAGAAUAACUGUAAGUGUAGCAGGUAAAACAGGGAAAGCUAAGCAGAGGAAGGAAUUGCAGUUAGCAGUUGCUAAGUUGUGGCUGGAGCAGGCUCAAAGGAGAAGAGAAGCACAGAAUGUUAAAAGAGCAAUAUUGCAAGCAGUAGUUGUGAAACCUGAGGAUGAAACCACAGCUCAAUCCACUGCAACUACUUUAGAACAACACCGUAGAAAAGCAUUAGAAAGAGCAAGAAUGUUAGCAGAAAGAAAGUCCAGAGAAGAGCGUGAGAGAGCAGAGGCAGAGUAUGGAGAGGCAUUAGGAGCAGCAUGGAG